rnacentral:rRNA from 1 species
GAUGAACGCUGGCGGCGUGCCUAAUACAUGCAAGUCGAGCGAAUGGAUUAAGAGCUUGCUCUUAUGAAGUUAGCGGCGGACGGGUGAGUAACACGUGGGUAACCUGCCCAUAAGACUGGGAUAACUCCGGGAAACCGGGGCUAAUACCGGAUAAUAUUUUGAACUGCAUGGUUCAAAAUUGAAAGGCGGCUUCGGCUGUCACUUAUGGAUGGACCCGCGUCGCAUUAGCUAGUUGGUGAGGUAACGGCUCACCAAGGCAACGAUGCGUAGCCGACCUGAGAGGGUGAUCGGCCACAGUGGGACUGAGACCCGGCCCGGACUCCUACGGGAGGCAGCAGUAGGGAAUCUUCCGCAAUGGACGAAAGUCUGACGGAGCAACGCCGCGUGAGUGAUGAAGGCUUUCGGGUCGUAAAACUCUGUUGUUAGGGAAGAACAAGUGCUAGUUGAAUAAGCUGGCACCUUGACGGUACCUAACCAGAAAGCCACGGCUAACUACGUGCCAGCAGCCGCCGUAA